rnacentral:ncRNA from 1 species
UGUAAAAAAACUGACAGGACGAUUUCUUUGUACGAGAGGACCGGAAAUCACGACCCUCUUGUGUAUCAGUUGUUAUGCCAAUAGCAUAGCUGAGUAGCUACGUUCGGACUAGAGAACCGCUGAAAGCAUCUCAAGCGGGAAACUAACCUGAAAACAAGUUUUUAGUAUCGUAGAAGACUACUACGUUAAUAGGUGGAAUGUGUAAAAAUAGCAAUAUUCCAAUUUUAUUUCUAGUUUUUAA